AUUGAACGCUGGCGGCAUGCUUUACACAUGCAAGUCGAACGGCAGCACGGGUGCUUGCACCUGGUGGCGAGUGGCGGACGGGUGAGUAAUGCAUCGGAACGUGUCCUGAAGUGGGGGAUAACGCAUCGAAAGAUGUGCUAAAUACCGCAUAUUCUCUGAGGAGGAAAGUGGGGAUCGAAAGACCUUAUGCUUUUGGAGCGGCCGAUGUCUGAUUAGCUAGUUGGUAGGGUAAUGGCUUACCAAGGCGACGAUCAGUAGUUGGUCUGAGAGGACGACCAGCCACACUGGGACUGAGACACGGCCCAGACUCCUACGGGAGGCAGCAGUGGGGAAUUUUGGACAAUGGGCGCAAGCCUGAUCCAGCAAUGCCGCGUGAGUGAAGAAGGCCUUCGGGUUGUAAAGCUCUUUCAGUUGAGAAGAAAAAGUCGCGACUAAUAAUCAUGAUUCAUGACGGUAUCAACAGAAGAAGCACCGGCUAACUACGUG
rnacentral:rRNA from 1 species